rnacentral:rRNA from 1 species
AUUGAACGCUGGCGGCAGGCCUAACACAUGCAAGUCGAACGGUAACAGGAAGAAGCUUGCUUCUUUGCUGACGAGUGGCGGACGGGUGAGUAAUGUCUGGGAAACUGCCUGAUGGAGGGGGAUAACUACUGGAAACGGUAGCUAAUACCGCAUAACGUCGCAAGACCAAAGAGGGGGACCUUCGGGCCUCUUGCCAUCGGAUGUGCCCAGAUGGGAUUAGCUAGUAGGUGGGGUAACGGCUCACCUAGGGGACGAUCCCUAGCUGGUCUGAGAGGAUGACCAGCCACACUGGAACUGAGACACGGUCCAGACUCCUACGGGAGGCAGCAGUGGGGAAUAGUGCACAAUGGGCGCAAGCCUGAUGCAGCCAUGCCGCGUGUAUGAAGAAGGCCUUCGGGUUGUAAAGUACUUUCAGCGGGGAGGAAGGGAGUAAAGUUAAUACCUUGGCUCAUUGACGUUACCCGCAGAAGAAGCACCGGCUAACUCCGUG